UACAGGGGGUGCAAACGUUGCUCGGAAUCAUUGGGCGUAAAGCGCACGUAGGCGGUCUGUUAUGUCGGAUGUGAAAGCCCUUGGCUUAACUGAGGAAGUGCAUCCGAAACUGGCAGGCUAGAGUACUAAAGAGGGUCGCGGAAUUCCCGGUGUAGAGGUGAAAUUCGUAGAUAUCGGAAGGAACACCAGUGGCGAAAGCGGCUCCUGGUCCAGCACCGACGUUCAGGCACGAAAGCGUGGGGAGCAAACAGG
rnacentral:rRNA from 1 species